AGGGGAAGCAAAAGAAGAUCUAAUGGUGAAGACGGAGAGUGUGAAACUGACAUCAGCGAGUCAGUUAUCCCCUACUGUUGAAGCUCUGUGGAUUCCAAAUCAAUCUAAGUUCCUUCUUUUUGACAAAAGACGCCUUCUAUACAGUCCAAUCUCAGACAUUUUAAAGGAUUGUGGAUGUCAUUUCAUCGUCUGGAAAUUUCUGAAUGAAGAAACUUGGCGUUUUGAAUACAGAUACCAGGCACAAAAAAGAUAAAUCAUAAUAUCUUUGCAUGAAAUGA